CAAAACAUUUCCUCAAACAUUAUCUCCCUUAAGCCUUGAAAUCAUCUCAAGCAGUAUGUAGAACACACAUUUUCACAGAGGAGGACGCUGAAGCUGAGAGAAAUAAUGUGUCUCAGUGGAAACAACUAGUCAGAGGUAGGCCAGGACUUGACCCCAAGAGUUCUGGUGCCAAAUCCCUGGCUCAGUGGAGCCUUCAAGCCUCUCCAGACUCCAAGACGACCAGGCUUCUGGGUUCCAAACCUGAUUAGUUGGCUUCCUGGGCUUCCAACAUUGAUUCUGUAAUUCACAAGAGCCCAGGUGUGACUCAUUGACCGAGGUCUCAGCAGCAUGCUGACGUCUGGCUGGUUUCCCUUCUGUGACCCACUGCAGGUUCCAAGAUUGGUAGGUUCCAAGAUUGGGUUAGAGGUUUGGUGACUUGCCGUGUGGUUCCUGUUUCUGAGGCCUCCCUCAUGUUGCAGAUGGCAGUACUGCAAGACAAGAGGAACCUGCGACCUGAAGGCCCUUGACUGCUUGGAUCAGGAAUAAGCCCUCAACUCCACUGGCUCUCAUCAAACCACGCCGCGAGCAAGGAAUAAACUUUUACUGCAUGAAGGGGAUGCGACAUCUAGGUCGACUUAGUACACCAUCACCCACCCUACUCUAACACACACAGAAAUGGGUUCUUUGAAAUGGAGUGAUGCUGUAUCAGACAGGUAAAGUAUCACCAGUUGGGGGCUGGGCAGUAAGGAAAAGCAUUUUAUGUCACAGCAGAACGUUUGCUAAAAUUGUUGCCUACGGCAACUUGGAAGACAGACCUUGUGCUAUCGAGGCCUUAGUUCUACAGAAUCCAGCUGCUGUGAGGUCCCUGGUGAAGCUGGUGGAAGAGAACCUUCUGUAUGUACCUGGGGAGUGGGCUUAAAAGAAUCCUGUCAACAACCCGCACAUCAACAUGUUUUGGAUGAUGCUACCUGCUCAGCAGGCAUAGUGAAGUGGAGUGCCUUUAAGAUCACUUUUCACUGGGGGAUGGUUUUGUUGAUGACACAACAUUACUAAUCAAGCAAAUGGGAACCAAGGUACAAUAUUAUUUUGUUAGCUAAUUCCCAUAGUCCAGUCAGAUUUUUUUAGCCCCUUUCUUAUUCCAUUUGUCAAUUUCCUUUUGUGAUGCAUAGUUUUGAAAGUAAAUAAAAAUUACUUAUGUUAAAA
rnacentral:lncRNA from 1 species